UUUUUUUUAUUUUUUUUAUUUUUAUCUUUUUUAAAUUUUUCUUUAAAUGAAAGCUUUUUAAAGACUUAAAUUAAAGUGUGUUUGCUACCGGAAACGAUGUUGGUCGUUAUUAAAUAUUAAUUUAAUUGGGAUGGAUAGGUGGAUGUUUAGAUGAAUUUGUUUGAUAGAUAGUUCACAGUAAAAGAGGAACGGAAAGAAAAUAAUAUAUGUCUUGAAUGAUAUUUGUAGUAUGAAUAAAAAUAGGAUGAAGUGCAAAUUUAAAAUCUCCGUUUUAGAAAAUAAACUAAGUUUCCAAAUCUUUUUUAAAGUAGGUCCCGUCUGGUACUCCCUUCUAGAAAUCAAGAUAAAAAUUUUUUCAGAUGUUUUUUAUAUUUCUAAAACUCUUUAUCUCAUUAAAUUUUCGAUGAUGCAAUUUUCCUAAAACUCGGACUUAUGAUGAAAUUUAAUUUUCUAAUGUGGAUAACACCACUUAAGACACAGUGUUGGUGCACAAGACCCUCUUGGCGUACAGUUUUCAGAGAACCUCGCUCUAACGCCGCAAAGCACCUCUGGCUAUCAAUGGCGAAAAUUACAGAGCAUUUUUUUUCUCUUAUCAAAUCUGCCAAGUAUAUAUGCUUUACACUUGCUUAAGCUGAAAUAAUUAUCCAGAGAGAACCCAUAAAUUUUCAUUAAGAGUCCAAGGAAAGGGAAUCAUGGGGCAAAGAAAAUGCCAUGGAUAGAAGAGUUCGAGAAAUAUAAUAUUAACAAGAGAUAAAACUUACAUCACAACGCUAGAAGGUUUCCCUUCCGGGACUUCCCGGGGGGAAAGAAAGGACUUGUUUGUACAGACUCUUCACGCCAGAAUGCAGUUGAGAAAAAGAUAAAUAUUUACAGGAAGAAAAGGAAAGUAAAGGCCAUUAGGGAAUUAUUUGUGGAGCUAGGAUGAUAUAUCUAACAAGAGGCUUGCUUCAUUCUUCACUUGUCGGCGAAAUGAUCUUCCUUUUAGCUUCAGCGCAAUUUUUACAUAAGGCAGGGACUAAGUAGGAUUUUCUCUAAUGCUUGGAGAGAGCCUG
rnacentral:lncRNA from 1 species